GAAUUGAAAGGGGCUGCUCCUAGUACGAGAGGACCGGAGUGGACGAACCUCUGGUGUUCGGGUUGUGUCGCCAGACGCAUUGCCCGGUAGCUAAGUUCGGGAUCGAUAACCGCUGAAAGCAUCUAAGCGGGAAGCGAGCCUUGAGAUGAGUUCUCCCUGAUACUUUAAGUAUCCUAAAGGGUUGUCGUAGACUACGACGUUGAUAGGCAGGGUGUGUAAGCGUUGUGAGGCGUUGAGCUAACCUGUACUAAUUGCCCGUGAGGCUUAACCAUACAACACCCAAGGGGUUU
rnacentral:rRNA from 1 species